rnacentral:rRNA from 1 species
UACGUAGGGUGCGAGCGUUGUCCGGAAUUAUUGGGCGUAAAGGGCUCGUAGGCGGUUUGUCGCGUCGGGAGUGAAAACCUCGGGCUUAACUCGGGGCUUGCUUUCGAUACGGGCAGACUGGAGGUAUGCAGGGGAGAACGGAAUUCCUGGUGUAGCGGUGAAAUGCGCAGAUAUCAGGAGGAACACCGGUGGCGAAGGCGGUUCUCUGGGCAUGAGCUGACGCUGAGGAGCGAAAGUGUGGGGAGCGAACAGG